rnacentral:rRNA from 1 species
GAUGAACGCUGGCGGCGUGCCUAAUACAUGCAAGUCGAGCGAACAGACGAGGAGCUUGCUCCUCUGACGUUAGCGGCGGACGGGUGAGUAACACGUGGAUAACCUACCUAUAAGACUGGGAUAACUUCGGGAAACCGGAGCUAAUACCGGAUAAUAUAUUGAACCGCAUGGUUCAAUAGUGAAAGACGGUUUUGCUGUCACGUAUAGAUGGAUCCGCGCCGCAUUAGCUAGUUGGUAAGGUAACGGCUUACCAAGGCAACGAUGCGUAGCCGACCUGAGAGGGUGAUCGGCCACACUGGAACUGAGACACGGUCCAGACUCCUACGGGAGGCAGCAGUAGGGAAUCUUCCGCAAUGGGCGAAAGCCUGACGGAGCAACGCCGCGUGAGUGAUGAAGGUCUUCGGAUCGUAAAACUCUGUUAUUAGGGAAGAACAAAUGUGUAAGUAACUAUGCACGUCUUGACGGUACCUAUUCAGAAAGCCACGGCUAACUACGUGCCAGCCGCCGCAGUAAGAC